CCUACGGGCGGCAGCAGUGGGGAAUAUUGCACAAUGGGGGAAACCCUGAUGCAGCGACGCCGCGUGAGCGAAGAAGUAUUUCGGUAUGUAAAGCUCUAUUAGCAGGGAAGAAAAUGACGGUACCUGAGUAAGAAGCUACGGCCAAAUACGUGCCAGCAGCAGCGGUAAUAUGUAAGGAGCAAGCGUUAUCCGGAUUUACUGGGCGUAAAGGGGGCGUAGGCGGGUUUCCAGGUCUGAUGUGAAAUAGCGGGGCUCAACCCCGGGGGUGCAUUGGACACUGGCAGGCUGGAGUGCAGGAGAGGCAGGCGGAAUUCCUAGUGUAGCGGUGAAAUGCGUAGAUAUUAGGAGGAAAACCAGUGGCGAAGGCAGCCUGCUGGACUGUGACUGACGCUGAGGCUCGAAAGCGUGGGGAGCAAACAGGAUUAGAUACCCCAGUAGUC
rnacentral:rRNA from 1 species